rnacentral:rRNA from 1 species
AUUGAACGCUGGCGGCAGGCCUAACACAUGCCAGUCGAGCGGAUGAAGGGAGCUUGCUCCUGGAUUCAGAGGCGGACGGGUGAGUAAUGCCUAGGAAUCUGCCUGGUAGUGGGGGAUAACGUCCGGAAACGGGCGCUAAUACCGCAUACGUCCUGAGGGAGAAAGUGGGGGAUCUUCGGACCUCACGCUAUCAGAUGUGCCUAGGCCGGCUUAGCUAGUUUGUGGGGUAAAGGCCUACCAAGGCGACGAUCCGUAACUGGUCUGAGAGGAUGAUCAGUCACACUGGAACUGAGACACGGUCCAGACUCCUACGGGAGGCAGCAGUGGGGAAUAUUGGACAAUGGGCGGAAUCCUGAUCCAGCCAUGCCGCGUGUGUGAAGAAGGUCUUCGGAUUGUAAAGCACUUUUAGUUGGGAGGAAGGGUAGUAAGUUAAUACCUGGCUGUUUUGACGUUACCAACAGAAUAAGCACCGGCUAACUACGUG